UAGCACUAGUGACUACAUGUAGGUGAUAUCCACUGUAUUGUCAUGAUAGCACUAGUCAUUAGGUAAUAACUGGCGUCUGUAGUGAUAGCACUAGUCAUUAGGUGAUAACUGGUGUACUGUGGCAGAAAUUGUUAGAAAAUAAUAUAAAUAGAAAAUUCUUUAAAAUAAUUUAUCAAAUGUAUCAAGGAAUAAAGUCAUGUAUUUGUAC